rnacentral:rRNA from 1 species
UACGAAGGGGGCUAGCGUUGUUCGGAAUUACUGGGCGUAAAGCGUGCGCAGGCGGCUUCUCAAGUCAGGGGGUGAAAGCCCAGAGCUCAACUCUGGAAUUGCCUUUGAGACUGAGUGGCUUGAGUACGAGAGAGGUGAGUGGAAUUCCCAGUGUAGAGGUGAAAUUCGUAGGAUAUUGGGAAGAACACCGGUGGCGAAGGCGGCUCACUGGCUCGUAACUGACGCUCAU